rnacentral:rRNA from 1 species
GGUUAAGCGACUAAGCGUACACGGUGGAUGCCCUGGCAGUCAGAGGCGAUGAAGGACGUGCUAAUCUGCGAAAAGCGCCGGCGAGGUGAUAUGAACCUUUGACCCGGCGAUGUCCGAAUGGGGAAACCCAGUGUGUUCCGACACACUAUCGUUAACUGAAUACAUAGGUUAACGAGGCGAACCGGGGGAACUGAAACAUCUAAGUACCCCGAGGAAAAGAAAUCAACCGAGAUUCCCCCAGUAGCGGCGAGCGAACGGGGAGCAGCCCAGAGUCUGAAUCAGCUUGUGUGUUAGUGGAACGGUCUGGAAAGUCCGACGGUACAGGGUGAUAGUCCCGUACACGAAAAUGCACAGGUUGUGAACUCGAAGAGUAGGGCGGGACACGUGGUAUCCUGUCUGAAUAUGGGGGGACCAUCCUCCAAGGCUAAAUACUCCUGACUGACCGAUAGUGAACCAGUACCGUGAGGGAAAGGCGAAAAGAACCCCGGCGAGGGGAGUGAAAAAGAACCUGAAACCGUGUACGUACAAGCAGUGGGAGCACCUUCGGGUGUGACUGCGUACCUUUUGUAUAAUGGGUCAGCGACUUAUAUUCUGUAGCAAGGUUAACCGUAUAGGGGAGCCGAAGGGAAACCGAGUCUUAACUGGGCGUUAAGUUGCAGGGUAUAGACCCGAAACCCGGUGAUCUAGCCAUGGGCAGGUUGAAGGUUGGGUAACACUAACUGGAGGACCGAACCGACUAAUGUUGAAAAAUUAGCGGAUGACUUGUGGCUGGGGGUGAAAGGCCAAUCAAACCGGGAGAUAGCUGGUUCUCCCCGAAAGCUAUUUAGGUAGCGCCUCGUGAACUCAUCUUCGGGGGUAGAGCACUGUUUCGGCUAGGGGGCCAUCCCGGCUUACCAACCCGAUGCAAACUACGAAUACCGAAGAAUGUUAUCACGGGAGACACACGGCGGGUGCUAACGUCCGUCGUGAAGAGGGAAACAACCCAGACCGCCAGCUAAGGUCCCAAAGUCAUGGUUAAGUGGGAAACGAUGUGGGAAGGCACAGACAGCCAGGAUGUUGGCUUAGAAGCAGCCAUCAUUUAAAGAAAGCGUAAUAGCUCACUGGUCGAGUCGGCCUGCGCGGAAGAUGUAACGGGGCUAAACCAUGCACCGAAGCUGCGGCAGCGACACUAUGUGUUGUUGGGUAGGGGAGCGUUCUGUAAGCCGUUGAAGGUGGCCUGUGAGGGUUGCUGGAGGUAUCAGAAGUGCGAAUGCUGACAUAAGUAACGAUAAAGCGGGUGAAAAGCCCGCUCGCCGGAAGACCAAGGGUUCCUGUCCAACGUUAAUCGGGGCAGGGUGAGUCGACCCCUAAGGCGAGGCCGAAAGGCGUAGUCGAUGGGAAACAGGUUAAUAUUCCUGUACUUGGUGUUACUGCGAAGGGGGGACGGAGAAGGCUAUGUUAGCCGGGCGACGGUUGUCCCGGUUUAAGCAUGUAGGCGGAGGUUCCAGGUAAAUCCGGAACCUUUUAACGCUGAGGUGUGAUGACGAGGCACUACGGUGCUGAAGUAACAAAUGCCCUGCUUCCAGGAAAAGCCUCUAAGCAUCAGGUAACAUCAAAUCGUACCCCAAACCGACACAGGUGGUCAGGUAGAGAAUACCAAGGCGCUUGAGAGAACUCGGGUGAAGGAACUAGGCAAAAUGGUGCCGUAACUUCGGGAGAAGGCACGCUGAUAUGUAGGUGAAGCCCCUGCGGGUGGAGCUGAAAUCAGUCGAAGAUACCAGCUGGCUGCAACUGUUUAUUAAAAACACAGCACUGUGCAAACACGAAAGUGGACGUAUACGGUGUGACGCCUGCCCGGUGCCGGAAGGUUAAUUGAUGGGGUUAGCGGCAACGCGAAGCUCUUGAUCGAAGCCCCGGUAAACGGCGGCCGUAACUAUAACGGUCCUAAGGUAGCGAAAUUCCUUGUCGGGUAAGUUCCGACCUGCACGAAUGGCGUAAUGAUGGCCAGGCUGUCUCCACCCGAGACUCAGUGAAAUUGAACUCGCUGUGAAGAUGCAGUGUACCCGCGGCAAGACGGAAAGACCCCGUGAACCUUUACUAUAGCUUGACACUGAACACUGGUCCUUGAUGUGUAGGAUAGGUGGGAGGCUUUGAAGUGUGGACGCCAGUCUGCAUGGAGCCGUCCUUGAAAUACCACCCUUUAAUGGCUGGUGUUCUAACGUAGACCCGUAAUCCGGGUUGCGGACAGUGUCUGGUGGGUAGUUUGACUGGGGCGGUCUCCUCCCAAAGAGUAACGGAGGAGCACGAAGGUUAGCUAAUCCUGGUCGGACAUCAGGAGGUUAGUGCAAUGGCAUAAGCUAGCUUGACUGCGAGAGUGACGGCUCGAGCAGGUGCGAAAGCAGGUCAUAGUGAUCCGGUGGUUCUGAAUGGAAGGGCCAUCGCUCAACGGAUAAAAGGUACUCCGGGGAUAACAGGCUGAUACCGCCCAAGAGUUCAUAUCGACGGCGGUGUUUGGCACCUCGAUGUCGGCUCAUCACAUCCUGGGGCUGAAGUAGGUCCCAAGGGUAUGGCUGUUCGCCAUUUAAAGUGGUACGCGAGCUGGGUUUAGAACGUCGUGAGACAGUUCGGUCCCUAUCUGCCGUGGGCGCUGGAGAAUUGAGGGGGGCUGCUCCUAGUACGAGAGGACCGGAGUGGACGCAUCACUGGUGUUCGGGUUGUCAUGCCAAUGGCACUGCCCGGUAGCUAAAUGCGGAAGAGAUAAGUGCUGAAAGCAUCUAAGCACGAAACUUGCCCCGAGAUGAGUUCUCCCUGAGCCUUUAAGGCUCCUGAAGGAACGUUGAAGACGACGACGUUGAUAGGUCGGGUGUGUAAGCGCAGCGAUGCGUUGAGCUAACCGAUACUAAUGAACCGUGAGGCUUAACCUU